rnacentral:rRNA from 1 species
CUCGUAGGCGGCCAACUAAGUCAGACGUGAAAUCCCUCGGCUUAACCGGGGAACUGCGUCUGAUACUGGAUGGCUUGAGAUUGGGAGAGGGAUGCGGAAUUCCAGGUGUAGCGGUGAAAUGCGUAGAUAUCUGGAGGAACACCGGUGGCGAAGGCGGCAUCCUGGACCAACACUGACGCUGAGGAGCGAAAGCAGGGAGACGAAC